rnacentral:rRNA from 1 species
CUAACUCCGUGCCAGCAGCCGCGGUAAUACGGAGGGUGCGAGCGUUAAUCGGAAGUUACUGGGCGUAAAGCGCAUGCAGGUGGUUUGUUAAGUCAGAUGUGAAAGACCCGGGGCUCAACCUCGGAAUUGCAUUUGAAACUGGCAAACUAGAGUACUGUAGAGGGGGUAGGAAUUUCAGGUGUAGCGGUGAAAUAGCGUAGAGAUCUGAAGGAAUACCGGUGGCGAAGGCGGCCCCCUCGGACAGAUACUGACACUCAGAUGCGAAAGCGUGGGGAGCAAACAGGAUUAGAUACCCUGGUAG